rnacentral:pre_miRNA from 1 species
UGGACAGAUUAUUGUAUUCGACUGUAUUCACGGCGUGAAAUAAGGGAUUAUACUGUUUGUAAAACGGAAAGUGAAUCAAUUAACAUAAUAGACUCAU